rnacentral:rRNA from 1 species
GACGAACGCUGGCGGCGUGCUUAACACAUGCAAGUCGAACGGAAAGGCCCUGCUUUUGUGGGGUGCUCGAGUGGCGAACGGGUGAGUAACACGUGAGUAACCUGCCCUUGACUUUAGGAUAACUUCAGGAAACUGGGGCUAAUACCGGAUAGGAGCUCCUGCUGCAUGGUGGGGGUUGGAAAGUUUCGGCGGUUGGGGAUGGACUCGCGGCUUAUCAGCUUGUUGGUGGGGUAGUGGCUUACCAAGGCUUUGACGGGUAGCCGGCCUGAGAGGGUGACCGGCCACAUUGGGACUGGGAUACGGCCCAGACUCCUACGGGAGGCAGCAGUGGGGAAUAUUGCACAAUGGGCGGAAGCCUGAUGCAGCAACGCCGCGUGCGGGAUGACGGCCUUCGGGUUGUAAACCGCUUUCGCCUGUGACGAAGCGUGAGUGACGGUAAUGGGUAAAGAAGCACCGGCUAACUACGUG